ensembl:lncRNA
CCCAGGAGAGUAGGGCUCAGGAAACAUCCACAGAGUUGAAUUACCACCUGGGGGGCUCUGCAGGGUCUGGCGCUUCUGAAGGGCUUUCUCUGCCCCUGAACUGCUGUCUGCCCUGACAGCACUUGCCAGCCUGGGGGCCUCCAUGCCAGGAGGGGACUGGGAGUUUGUGAUGCAAAGUGAACAGGGGAUGGAAGGUCUGGAGUUGGAGACCUGUGGGUCACAUGGGAGUGUGGGCACCCAGACUAGCCUCAACUCUGGCCCCCAGAGGGCUUCCUGGAAGAGGGGACUUUGCCUGCCUGUCCCCAGGCUGCGGGACAGGCUGAUGCCCCCCUCCCUGGUUCUGAGUGUGGAGCAGGCACAGCGAACGCUCUGAGGAUGCACGUGUUGUGGAACACUGUUCAAGAUUUGAUUCUCUUCCCACGGUGCCAGAAGGGACGCUGGCAGUUAGGAUUCCUUCCUCAUUUGACAAAUCAGGAGGCAGCAGCCCAGAGAAGUCCAGGCACUUAUGGGAGAUCACAGAGUUGUCAUCAUCAGCAGGGCUGGGACACCAUGCACCUAUCAGGCCCCCGAAGUCAAGGCCGGCCCCCAUCCCCUGGAUGUCUACACAGUUUGACAAUCCAGCUCUUGCCUCCAGGGGUGUUAGAGAGCCAGUAGCAAGGUCCCUGCUGUUAUGGAACAGUCGUCCUGCUGGGAGAGUGAACAGUGAACCAGUUAACAAUCAGGGUAAAGCCAGGAGUGGGUGACGGACGGUGAAAUGUGUGCUGGACAGAGGGACAUUAGUAGGGGCCGUAGUUAGAGAUGGAGCACUGAAGCACUGAUGCUUUUGAGCUGCGGUGCUGGAGGAGUCUCUUGAGAGUCCCUUGGACUGCAAGGAAAUCAAACCAGUCCAUCCUAAAGGAGAUCAACCCUGAAUGUUCAUUGCAAGGACUGAUGCUGAAGCUGAAGCUCCAAUACUUUGGCCACCUGAUGCAAACAGCUGACUCAUUGGAAAAGACCCUGAUGCUGGGAAAUAUUGAAGGCAGAAGAGGGUGACAUAGGAUGAGAUGGUUGGAUGGCAUCACUGACUCAAUGGACAUGAAUUUGGGCAAACUCCUAGGGAAUAUGAAGGACAGGAAGACCUGGCAUGCUGUAGUCCACGGAGUCACAAAGAGUCGGACACAACUUGGCAACUGAAGAACAAGUCAGGGAUGGCAUUGGAACUGAGAUGUGAAUGACAUGUUCAGAUCCAGGAAAGGGCGUCUAAGCAGAGGGAGCAGCCUGUGCAAAGGCCCUGGGGCCAGGGGAGGGGUCUUGGCUUCUUCAGGGAAGAGCCAGAAGGCAGAUGUGACUGGGAUAUAAGCCCAGGGGAAGUUGGCACAAGGUGAGUUCAGAGGGCAGGACUCUGAGCCUCCAGGGGGAUGGGAGGCUGGACCAGCUCAUGAAGGUUCUCUGAGGCUAUGGGAGGAAGAUGGAUUUCACCGGUGCACUCACAGAAGUCCAUGUGUGCACCAUGUAGGGAGGGAGCUUAGGCACACCCCUUCACUGGGUGGUGUGGGGCAUCCCCUUCCUGCAGUAUCAGCCCCUCAGUGUGCCUGGGGAGCUCUCCAGCCUGGAGGUGGGGGCAAGGAUGAAAAGCUAUAAGGUGAGCCAGGCACCACACCAGCACAGUCUCUGAGCUUGGGGUAGGGGUAGUGCAAGCUGCUUGGCUUCGGAGUUGGAUGGUUCUAGGUUGACCUUGGGCCUGUCACUUCACCUGAGUCUCAGUUUCCUCAUCUGUGAAAUGGGGACAUGGUGUGUUUUGCCCUUAGCAGAGUCAGUGGCACAGGCAAGCAGUGAAGGAAGCCGAGCUGGUCGUAUUUGUCUCUGUCUCCAGCUUUGAACCUCACUCUCUCAUAAGCUGGACUUCCAUGGAAGCUCAGAUGGUAAAGAAUCUGCCUGCAAUGUAGGAGACCCGGGUUCGGUCCCUGGGUCAGGAAGAUGCCCCGGAGAAGGGAAUGGCAACCCACUCCAGUAUUCUUGUCUGGAGAAUCCCAUGAACAGAGGAGCCUGGCGAGCUACAGUCCAUAGGCUGUCAAAGAGGCAGACAACCAAGUGACUAACACUUUCACUUUUUUUCACUCUCAUGGGCUACUGUUUCUUUUCUAAGUGCAGGGACACUGUUGACUCCUGCACGACUGCCCUACGAUUUUGAACCCAGCAGAGCAGGGGCUGGAACAGGACAUCAGAAAGAAAGGCGUGGGGAGUGGAGGACCAGAGAAGGUGCUGGAAGGAGGGGCAGGAGAGAGAGAGAGUUCUGGUGUCUCUUCCUAGAAGGACACUAAUCCUCCUGGAUCUGGGACCCAUCCUUAUGACAUCAUUUAACCUUAAUUACCCCCAAGAAGCUCCAUCUCUAAAACAGCUACUCUGAGAUCACUGUUCAGAGGCCCCAGGAAUCAGGGGAUGACCGGUACAGCUCACCCUCUUCCUGCUUCCUGGGACCAGGCUGGCUCUUCAGACUUCUGAGUGGCUUCUUGGAUGGCAGACUCAGAGACCUCAUCCAACGACUGCGUAGUAUGGAACCACCCACACUUGCAGCUUUCACUUGACCACACAGAGUCGCGGCGCUCACUCCUUUGCCAGGGAACCCCUUUCCCAGGUGAGCAUCUGCAUUAGAAACGCCUGCCUCGUGUUCUCUCACGUCACCUCAUCAAUGAACCCGCGGAGAGGGCUAGUGGGAGAUAGUGAACUCACGUGUUCAGCUCUGUGAUCCCAGGCACAUGCCAGGGUGUGGACAGGGUGAGGACGUGCAGGCAACAGGAGGGGGGCGAAGUGGGAACCAGUAUUCACGAGGAGUUGCUCUCACGGGUAGAAAGGUUGGAGAUCAAACAAAACUCUUAACAUGAAAGUUCCCAUGAAAUAAGUAUUUUCAUCUCCAUUUAUUCAGAUGGGAAAAAAAAAAAAUCGAGUCCAAAGUGACAUGUCUGAGGUCGCAGAGUUGACAAAUGGCUGAGUCGGGGUUCAGUACCUUGGGCAUCUUCCCGUGGACCCAGACUCUGCUCGGGUGAAUUUCAGAUGACAGAGUCUGACGAUGGGGUAAUUUUGGGAUCGUUGCAGGCCUGUCCUGCCUGAAAGGACCAAAUGUCAGGAGGGCAAGGCCAAGCUGGCUCAGCUGGUAAGAUGAAAAGGAC